rnacentral:rRNA from 1 species
UACGGAGGGGGCUAGCGUUGUCCGAAGUUACUGGGCGUAAAGCGCGCGUAGGCGGUUGGAUAAGCCCUCCGUGAAAUCUCCAGGCUUAACCCUGGAAAGUGCAGAGGGGACUGUUCAGCUAGAGGAUGGGAGAGGAGCGCGGAAUUCCCGGUGUAGCGGUGAAAUGCGCAGAUAUCGGGAAGAACACCCGUGGCGAAGGCGGGCUCUCUCGGGACGGUACUGACGCUGAGACGCGAAAGCGUGGGGAGCGAACGAGGAAUUAUG